CCUACGGGAGGCAGCAGUGGGGAAUUUUGGACAAUGGACGAAAGUCUGAUCCAGCCAUGCCGCGUGCGGGAAGAAGGCCUUCGGGUUGUAAACCGCUUUUGUCAGGGAAGAAAUCUUCUGGGUUAACACCUCGGGAGGAUGACGGUACCUGAAGAAUAAGCACCGGCUAACUACGUGCCAGCAGCCGCGGUAAUACGUAGGGUGCGAGCGUUAAUCGGAAUUACUGGGCGUAAAGCGUGCGCAGGCGGUUAUAUAAGACAGAGGUGAAAUCCCCGGGCUCAACCUGGGAACUGCCUUUGUGACUGUAUAGCUUGAGUGCGGCAGAGGGGGAUGGAAUUCCGCGUGUAGCAGUGAAAUGCGUAGAUAUGCGGAGGAACACCGAUGGCGAAGGCAAUCCCCUGGGCCUGCACUGACGCUCAUGCACGAAAGCGUGGGGAGCAAACAGGAUUAGAUACCCUGGUAGUCCACGCCCUAAACGAUGUCAACUGGUUGUUGGGAAGGUUCCUUCUCAGUAACGAAGCUAACGCGUGAAGUUGACCGCCUGGGGNGGACGGCGCGAGUAGAACGACAAUAAAUAGUAGCGUGAGAGUGCCGACGGACGACGACGAGGGAGGAGG
rnacentral:rRNA from 1 species